CCUUUCGUAGCUUAGUUGUCAGGGUAUUGGUGCGUAGCGCCAAAGGACGCGGGUUCGAUUCUCGGCGAGAGUA
rnacentral:tRNA from 1 species